ACGUUGGGAAGAUCCCCUGGAGGAUGGCAUGCAAUCCACUCCAGUAUUCUUGCCUGGAGAGCCCCAUGGACAGAGGAGCCUGAUGGGCUAUGGUUCAUAGGGUCGCAAAGAGUCAGACAUAACUGUAGCAACUCAGUACACACACAUAUAUGAAGCGCCAG